rnacentral:rRNA from 1 species
AUUGAACGCUGGCGGAAUGCUUUACACAUGCAAGUCGAACGGCAGCACGGGGGCAGCCCUGGUGGCGAGUGGCGAACGGGUGAGUAAUACAUCGGAACGUGCCCGGUCGUGGGGGAUAACGUAGCGAAAGUUACGCUAAUACCGCAUACGAUCUGAGGAUGGAAGCGGGGGACCUUCGGGCCUCGCGCGAUCGGAGCGGCCGAUGUCAGAUUAGGUAGUUGGUGGGGUAAAGGCCUACCAAGCCGACGAUCUGUAGCUGGUCUGAGAGGACGACCAGCCACACUGGGACUGAGACACGGCCCAGACUCCUACGGGAGGCAGCAGUGGGGAAUUUUGGACAAUGGGCGCAAGCCUGAUCCAGCCAUUCCGCGUGCAGGACGAAGGCCUUCGGGUUGUAAACUGCUUUUGUACGGAACGAAAAGGCUCUGGCUAAUACCUGGGGCUCAUGACGGUACCGUAAGAAUAAGCACCGGCUAACUACGUG